rnacentral:rRNA from 1 species
CACGUAGGGCGCAAGCGUUGUCCGGAAUUAUUGGGCGUAAAGAGCUCGUAGGCGGUCUGUUGCGUCUGCUGUGAAAACUCGGGGCUUAACCCCGAGCCUGCAGUGGAUACGGGCAGACUAGAGGUAGGUAGGGGAGAAUGGAAUUCCCGGUGUAGCGGUGAAAUGCGCAGAUAUCGGGAGGAACACCGGUGGCGAAGGCGGUUCUCUGGGCCUUACCUGACGCUGAGGAGCGAAAGCGUGGGGAGCGAAUGGG